UUGAAAAAAUUUCCACCCCUAGGGGCUGGUGUGCAGCGGCUGCAAUAGCAGUCUCCUUGGUAGAUGCAGCCUGGUGCCUUUAUGGGUUGCCCUAAGGGACCUUGGUGACAGUG
ensembl:snoRNA SNORA70 Small nucleolar RNA SNORA70